rnacentral:rRNA from 1 species
UACGUAGGGCGCGAGCGUUGUCCGGAAUCAUUGGGCGUAAAGAGCUCGUAGGCGGCCGGUUGCGUCUGCUGUGAAAUCCCGGGGCUUAACCCCGGGCGUGCAGUGGAUACGGGCUGGCUGGAGGCAGGCAGGGGAGAAUGGAAUUCCCGGUGUAGCGGUGAAAUGCGCAGAUAUCGGGAAGAACACCCGUGGCGAAGGCGGUUCUCUGGCCCGAUACUGACGCUGAGGCGCCGAAAGCGUGGGGAGCAAACAGG